UUUUUUUUAUUUUUUUUUAAGUCAUCAACAUUUUAUUAAUUUCCACUGCUGAAAUUGUACAAGAGAGAUAGAAAAGACACAGAGCCUGCCUGGACAGGGAAGAGCCCCAUGGUCACAUGUGUUUCCCACUACGCAUGAAAAGAUGCCUCAGACAGUGAUCUGCACUUAGAUCUCACCACAAAGCAUUCAACUUUAGCAGCACAAAGCAUUUUAAAUACAAUACACAGUAUACUGGGCUCAAUGUAUCUGAUGUCUCCAUCUCUCUGCACAAGAACCACAAGGCCCAUAUGGAUGAGAAUGAAGCCCUGGUUGUGAAGCAACGCACUGGGGCUUUCUUCUUCUUGCUGUAAGGCAGAAUGUACCAGUUCUGCUUGUACAUACAGUAUUAAGCAGUGGAAGAGGGGAAGGAGGUGCAGAGGCUGCAUUUGGUCUCAGUGUUUCGAAGCAUUUAAAUGUCUAAGCACUGCCACCAGGCAAGGAUCUAGCUGCCAUGCUUACCUGGGAACGGACGCUUAACACCACAAUGAAUUUGUUAGUCCUCAAGGUGCUACAAGACUUUUUGUGGUUUAAGCUUGACUGGUGCAGCUGUUAUGCAUUGUCUCAACAGUUAAGUAUAGCUUGCAAGGCCUUGACAUGGACAGGGUGGGCCAAAUAUACUGAGUUGGUGAGGUGUGCAGGGGUGCUCUCCUACAAAGCCAACCCCUCGUUUGCUCAGGGAGCCACUAGAG